rnacentral:tRNA from 1 species
GCGCCUGUAGCUCAAUUGGAUAGAGCAACGGCCUUCUAAGCCGUCGGUUGCAGGUUCGAGCCCUGCCAGGCGUA